CAGGUGACCAACGGAAGCCAAUCCAUAAGUUAUAGUAAUCAGUGCACAGGUAAAUAAAUCUAAAGAUACCCAAGACGCCAAUUAUUCUUUUAGAUUCUUCUGGCAUUUUAUUUUUCAAUAUAAUGUUGUUCACCUCAUGGUUUUAGAUGUGAAUGAAUGCCUUGAGACCCCAUCGGUCUGUGGUUCAAACUCAGUCUGCAACAACACCAUUGGAGACUACAACUGUACAUGCUGGAGUGGAUAUAAUGUCACUGAUCCAAGUUUGAAGAGUAGUGCUAACAAUACUUGUACAGAUAUAAACGAAUGUGUUGAGAUAUCAAACGUGUGUGGAUUCAACUCCAACUGCACCAAUUACAAUGGAAGCUACAACUGUUCCUGCCUGAGUGGAUAUCAAGUGACCAAAGCAAACCAAUCCAUGAGUGUUGACAAUCAGUGCACAGGUAAAUGAAAACAUUAAUUCUUUAUGUUUCUAUCUCUAUGAAUUUUACUUGACCAUUGUUUUCAAUACAACAUUGUUGACCUUAUGGUUUUAGAUGUGAAUGAAUGCCUUGAGACCCCAUCGGUCUGUGGUCCAAACUCAGUCUGCAACAACACCAUUGGAGACUACAACUGUACAUGCUGGAGUGGAUAUAAUGUCACUGAUCCAAGUUUGAAGAGUAGUGCUAACAAUCCCUGUACAGGUAAGGUUGCAUUAACCGGUGGCUGACAUACUU
ensembl:lncRNA